rnacentral:rRNA from 1 species
GACGGAGGAUGCAAGUGUUAUCCGGAAUCACUGGGUGUAAAGCGUCUGUAGGUGGUUUAAAAAGUCCACUGUUAAAGGUUGAAGCUUAACUUCAAAAAUGCCGUGGAAACUUUUAAACUUGAGUAUGAUAGGGGUAGAGGGAAUUUCCAGUGGAGCGGUGAAAUGCGUAGAUAUUGGAAAGACCACCGAUGGCGAAGGCACUCUACUGGGCCAUUACUGACACUGAGAGACGAAAGCUAGGGGAGCAAAUGGG